UUUUUUUAAAUCCCCAUGGGAGAUAACUUACAUCAGAUUGUUCAAACAUCCAAAAUAGUCAUCUCUUAAUAGUUUAAAAUCAUUAAUAAUAAAUCCUACUGGCAGUUGUAUCAUGAUAUGACUUCCUAUUCCCAUAUUGAGCUUAAGCGACUAGUUAUCAUUAAAAGUUUCACCAUAAAAAUUUACAAUAUAAAAUUUCAUACAUCAUUUACAAAAAAAUAACAAAUAUAUUCAAAACAACAAUACACAUGUAACACAACCUUCUAGUGCAGAAUGAAAGUAUGUGCAAUGACUGUGCAUGAGGGAUUUCAUUCCUGAAACAAUAUCACUUCAUAAUAACAGUAAAUUCAAAUAUAAAUACAAUGACUAUACAAUAUAUCUGAAAAACAACUUAAAACUCAAGUUAUAAGUUCUUACUUUUCAGAUGCUGCUUAGACCAAAAUGAUUGAAAUGUUCAAAAUGCAUUUACUAGUGUUACCAAGUCCAGACUUCAAGAUUUCUUUUUCAGCUUGGCAAACAAAUGAACUGUGGAAGAAAAAAAUCUUCCUUAUGCAAAGGAAUACAUUAUGUUAACCUUUUUCAGGUUUUAAAAUUCUCUAUGCAAAGUCUGUAACUGUUUGAGAAUUGUGUUGAUAUAACAACCCUAUUAAAUACAUUUGUACAUCAAAAAUCCUCGUUUAUUUCAUAAUUAAAAGUUCCAAAAUCAACUAGUCGUAUACAUGUACAUGUACACUUGCAAUAAAUAGAUUUCUAUCUGAUGCAGCUCAUAUUUUGACAGCUACAUGUACAUGUAAGUAUAGGAUGUUCAAAGAAAUAAAAACCAUCUGCUAUUGACUUGUUGCUUCUGUCUAGGGUGUAAUUUUGUAUGAACGACUUAAUAACCAAUUUGUUAUCAAAUGAACAAGAAGUCACAUUGCAAGGGGCUAGUUUGAUAUUUUAUCAAAACAAUUUGAAAAUAAUGAGAAAUGAGGCCAAAAACUGAUGUAAAAAGUCAAAUACUAUUUUGAAGGAGUCAUUUAUACAUACAAACAUACACACACGUUAACACACAUCAAUAAAUAAUAUAAGAUUAGGUACAACUAUAAAAACACAACACAUCAUAAUACGCAUAUACCUGAUAGUUUCAAAC
rnacentral:lncRNA from 1 species